rnacentral:rRNA from 1 species
GACGUAGGGCGCGAGCGUUGUCCGGAUUUAUUGGGCGUAAAGAGCUCGUAGGCGGUCUGUCGCGUCGGAUGUGAAAACCCAGGGCUCAACCCUGGGCCUGCAUUCGAUACGGGCAGACUAGAGUACGGCAGGGGAGACUGGAAUUCCUGGUGUAGCGGUGAAAUGCGCAGAUAUCAGGAGGAACACCGGUGGCGAAGGCGGGUCUCUGGGCCGUAACUGACGCUGAGGAGCGAAAGCGUGGGGAGCGAACAGG